CCUACGGUGCGCAGCAGUAGGGAAUAUUGGGCAAUGGAGGAAACUCUGACCCAGCAAUACCGCGUGAAGGAUGAAGGUUUUCGGAUUGUAAACUUCUGUUAUAAAGGAAGAAAAACAUGACGGUACUUUAUAAGUAAGCCCCGGCAAACUAUGUGCCCGCAGCCGCGGUGAUACAUAGGGGGCAAGCGUUGUCCGGAAUGACUGGGUGUAAAGGGUGUGUAGGUGGCUGAUUAAGUUAGAGGUGAAGGCCCGAAGCUCAACUUCGGAACUGCCUUUAAAACUGGUCGGCUUGAGUGUGGGAGAGGUGAGUGGAACGCCUAGUGUAGCGGUGGAAUGCGUAGAUAUUAGGAAGAACAUCAGAGGCGAAGGCGACUAACUGGAACAUGACUGACACUGAAACACGAAAGCGUGGGGAGCAAACAGGAUUAGAUACCCGAGUAGUC
rnacentral:rRNA from 1 species